UGCGAGACGGCGUGGUGGAUAUGACGAUCCCUGGAACAGAAUGGGCACAGCGUGUUCUUGGUGCUUGUGAAUGAAUCAGCCGGACAAAAUUGUUGCUCAACAAGAAACGAGAGAAUGUGAAAAAAAUGGAAACUCGCCGGCCUUGCCCAGACCCUAGCCCCAGUGGCCCCCAGUGUGUGGAGGAUUGCCCUUGUUGGCGUGUUCAUUUGGAAGAACCCAAGGAUAAUCAAAUCCAUGAGGAUACAAAGGCUUCUCAACUCAUG